rnacentral:rRNA from 1 species
AAUAGAUACCUGUAGUCCACCCGUAAACGUUGGAACUAGUUGUGGGUCCAUUCCACGGAUUCCGUGACGCAGCUAACGCAUUAAGUUCCCCGCCUGGGGAGUACGGCCGCAAGGCUAAAACUCAAAGGAAUUGACGGGGACCCGCACAAGCGGCGGAGCAUGCGGAUUAAUUCGAUGCAACGCGAAGAACCUUACCAAGGCUUGACAUAUACGAGAACGGGCCAGAAAUGGUCAACUCUUUGGACACUCGUAAACAGGUGGUGCAUGGUUGUCGUCAGCUCGUGUCGUGAGAUGUUGGGUUAAGUCCCGCAACGAGCGCAACCCUCGUUCUAUGUUGCCAGCACGUAAUGGUGGGAACUCAUGGGAUACUGCCGGGGUCAACUCGGAGGAAGGUGGGGAUGACGUCAAAUCAUCAUGCCCCUUAUGUCUUGGGCUUCACGCAUGCUACAAUGGCCGGUACAAAGGGCUGCAAUACCGCGAGGUGGAGCGAAUCCCAAAAAGCCGGUCCAGUUCGGAUUGAGGUCUGCAACUCGA